rnacentral:rRNA from 1 species
CCUACGGGUGGCAGCAGUGGGGAAUAUUGCACAAUGGGGGAAACCCUGAUGCAGCAACGCCGCGUGGGUGAAGGAGCGUUUCGGCGCGUAAAGCCCUGUCAGCGGGGAAGAAGAAAGACGGUACCCGACCAAGAAGCCCCGGCUAACUACGUGCCAGCAGCCGCGGUAAUACGUAGGGGGCGAGCGUUAUCCGGAAUUACUGGGUGUAAAGGGAGCGUAGACGGUUAAUCAAGUCAGAAGUGAAAACCCAGGGCUCAACCUUGGGACUGCUUUUGAAACUGAGUAGCUAGAGUGCAGGAGAGGUAAGCGGAAUUCCUGGUGUAGCGGUGAAAUGCGUAGAUAUUAGGAGGAACACCAGUGGCGAAGGCGGCUUACUGGACUGUAACUGACGUUGAGGCUCGAAAGCGUGGGGAGCAAACAGGAUUAGAUACCCGUGUAGUC